UACAGAGGGGGCAAGCGUUGUUCGGAAUUACUGGGCGUAAAGGGCGCGUAGGCGGCUUGCUAAGUCGGACGUGAAAUCCCUGGGCUCAACCCAGGAACUGCGUCCGAUACUGGUUGGCUUGAAUGCGGGAGAGGGAUGUGGAAUUCCAGGUGUAGCGGUGAAAUGCGUAGAUAUCUGGAGGAACACCGGUGGCGAAGGCGACAUCCUGGACCGGUAUUGACGCUGAGGCGCGAAAGCCAGGGGAGCAAACGGG
rnacentral:rRNA from 1 species